rnacentral:rRNA from 1 species
GAUGAACGCUGGCGGCGUGCCUAAUACAUGCAAGUCGAGCGAACAGAUAAGGAGCUUGCUCCUUUGACGUUAGCGGCGGACGGGUGAGUAACACGUGGGUAACCUACCUAUAAGACUGGAAUAACUCCGGGAAACCGGGGCUAAUGCAGGAUAACAUGUUGAACCGCAUGGUUCUACAGUGAAAGGCGGCUUUGCUGUCACUUAUAGAUGGACCCGCGCCGUAUUAGCUAGUUGGUGAGGUAACGGCUCACCAAGGCAACGAUACGUAGCCGACCUGAGAGGGGGAUCGGCCACACUGGAACUGAGACACGGUCCAGACUCCUACGGGAGGCAGCAGUAGGGAAUCUUCCGCAAUGGGCGAAAGCCUGACGGAGCAACGCCGGGUGAGUGAUGAAGGUCUUCGGAUCGUAAAACUCUGUUAUUAGGGAAGAAAAAAUGCGUAAGUAACUGUGCGCGUCUUGACGGUACCUAAUCAGAAAGCCACGGCUAACUACGUGC